UACGUAGGUGGCAAGCGUUGUCCGGAUUUACUGGGCGUAAAGAGCGCGCAGGCGGUCGUGCAAGUCGCGUGUGAAAGCCCCCGGCUCAACUGGGGAGGGUCAUUCGAUACUGAUCGACUCGAAGGCAGGAGAGGGAAGUGGAAUUCCCGGUGUAGUGGUGAAAUGCGUAGAUAUCGGGAGGAACACCAGUGGCGAAGGCGACUUCCUGGCCUGUUCUUGACGCUGAGGCGCGAAAGCUAGGGGAGCAAACGGG
rnacentral:rRNA from 1 species